rnacentral:tRNA from 1 species
GGGCCCGUAGCUCAGUUGGGAGAGCGCCGCCCUCGCAUGGCGGAGGCCAGGGGUUCGAGUCCCCUCGGGUCCA